GGGCAGAGGAACAACUUGAGUCAUACUGCAGAAAUUCUCUCCUGUGGUCUCACCAGCUCAUCAAAAAUACUUAAAACAAUAGAGAAUGUUUUAAAACUGUCUCAGUUCAUUCUGGUAUAGAUCAAAAAGUUGGCUUGAACUGAAAGUUUCAAUUAAAGUUGCAUUUUUCAUGUGAUUUCCAAAUCAGCUUGUUUCUUGAUUAACCUCAUAAGUGGGUUCAUAUAUUACAGUCUGUAAGGAGAGCCACAGGGGAGCAAUAUGAGGAGAAGAGAACCAAACCCCAUUUCUGUUCAUGGUCAUCUGGCUUGUUCUAUGUCUUAACUGUUAAUCCAAUAGGAAGUCACAGGUCUUCAAGCUUUAGAAUACAGACUGAAAAACUCUCUGAUUUAAAUUCAUUCAAACCCAUACUUUCUUGACUACACAUCAGUGUUUCUUAGUUUUUUAUACACAUUCGCUCAUUUAUCUCUCAAGAUAAUCUGAAGAGGUCAGUAUUUUCAUCCCUACUUAUAGAUGAGGAAGUUAAGAUAAAGAUGUAUCUUAACUGUUGUAACUAAACUAUAUAUUAAUGUUUGCCCAGUAGCACACAACUGGGAUUUGUACCCAGUCAGCCUGAUUCCAGAAUCCCUACUCUUAACCAGUAUACACAGACAUAGACACAUAGUAUUGAGGCAGAGUUUCAGACAGAGUAGGCCCUUAAAAACUAGUGUGCCAGGCUUCCAGUGGGAUUAUUCCAUAAGUACUCUUCAAUCAGAAGAUUUCAAUAUUGCACAUUAGGAAACAAGUGUCCUAUUCAUUUUUUUUUUUUUGCUAUGUUUCAACAUAUGGUAUUAACCUAUAAGUAAUUUCUGUGCUCAGUGUUUGACCUUUGUCCAGCAAGUUCUGAGCAAAAUAAUCAAGAAUGUAUUAUUUUCCUCUUUCAAAAAAAUGUUAACUUCGCAUGGUUACAUGGGACAAAAAGAAUGAAAUAUACAAAUCAGUUAUAUAUGUUUCAUUGACUCCUUUGUCCUAUAGGAUAGCCUUCUAUGGUUUGAUAUUGUGCACCUUCAUACUAAUAGCAAGUAAGAAUUAAUUCAUAAAAAAGAUAAAACUGGAAAAAGUAAGUAAUUUCUUAUUUUCUGAAAAUAAUUUAACUUCCUCAAUUCUGCUUUUUCAGGAACCAAAUUCUGAUGACAUAUCGUGUGCCACCUUCUGCCUAAAUGAUUUGAUCAUCU
ensembl:lncRNA